GAUGAAGAACUAGCGAACGUGCGAAACGUAAUGUGAAUUGCAGAAUUCAGUGAAUCAUCGAAUCUUUGAACGCAUCUUGCGCUCCUUGGUAUUCCGAGGAGCAUGCCUGUUUGAGUGUCGUGAAUACUCUCAACUUCAACCCUUUUUUCGGAAAGGGAGGAAGGUUGGACUUGGGUGUUUGUUGAAGUGCGAGCUUCGACUCAUCCUAAAUGCAUUAGCGAUCUGCCUCGAUCACACACAAUGUGAUAAUUAAAACUAAAGCAUUGUUUAAUGAUCAAGUCGAGACUGCUUCUAACUGUCGCAAGACAAUAACGUGCAUACAUUUGUGCAUGUCAUUUGACCUCAAAUCAGGUAGGACUACCCGCUGAACUUAAGCAUAUCAAUAAGCGGAGGA
rnacentral:misc_RNA from 1 species